CCAUAUGGGAGACAGGCACUCCACGAAACAAGCUCCCGAAUUGUUUUUAUUCUGUUUUUUAUCUGAAGGGACCACCACCGGUGCAAGGCUCAUUUCUUGUCGUGCCUCAAAAAGCUAUUAAAGGCAAUUGUCGUGCUGGACAGACCGAGCGCUGCAAUCCGGAUGUGCCAUCCUAUUGGCGCUCCCAGCAUCGCCUCCUCCACCCCUCUCUGACAUGGAUUUAAUGCAGGUGCAGACACAAGCCUCGCAUAAGGGAGCAAUUUUCUGAUUCAUUCAUGUAAGACCCUGAGGGAGAGUUGGAACAAGAUGUACAAAGGGAAGAAAAAAAAAAACCAUAGAAUUUGGGGCACUCGUGUCAGACCCAUCCUCCAGCUGCCUUGGGAAGGAGCACAAGACGGAAAGCCACGCCAACAGAAUCCUUCCCAUCUAAUCCUGCUGCCUUGAUUAAUGUCUUCUGCCUCCAAAGAGGUGAACUCUGGCAUCCAGGCUCAGCUCCAUGGGGGCUGAGCAAGCCCGUACGGGGACAGAUGCCUUGGCUUGUGGAAAGGGGAGGUGGUUUCCCUGCUGGUGCAGCCGUGCUCCCGCAGGAUGCUUGCUAUAGACAAAGCAGUGGAGCAGGGAGGCUGAAAGCUGUGGGGUUGCAGACAACCCCGGGAAAUACUUUCGCUCCUUGCUCUAUCUCCAAAUUAGGGAAUGUAUCUUAAACAACACUAAAAUUUGAUUUUAAUAUAGUUUUUUAUCUCUAUCCGAAUCAAGAUUACUUCAGUAAAACAACGAGCACAUUUUCCCCUGUCCUAGGAAUUAAAAGAAGUUUUCAGCUUGGAGCAGUAUUUUUGGUCAUGAGGAAAAGCAAAAUAGAAACGUGCGUUGCCGUGAGGGGCUGUCACAAAGCUAGGCAGCAGGCAGCGGUUGGUACAAUUCCCAGCAACAGGCCGGUAUCUACAAGUUGUAUGCGGGCAUACUUUGCAUGCACUGCAGCAAUAAUUGGUGGCUGAGCCCCUUGUUUUCAAAGCAUUUGCUAAAAGCAGCUUUCUGGCCACAAGCAAUAAGUAGCUGCAGUUAUUUGACUUAAUUUUUCAAGGAGCUCUCCUACUCUGCCAGACAUUUUCUGCACAAUGCUGUGACAAUAAAUUCCCUAAAA